rnacentral:misc_RNA from 1 species
ACGAGAACUUGCCCUCCGGGGUAGAUCUCCCACCCUCUGUUUACAUACUCUGUUGCUUUGGCAGGCCCGUCUCCGGACCGCCGGCUUCGGCUGGCCCGUGCCUGCCAGAGGAUUCAAAACUCUGAUAAUUGUGUCGACUGAGUACUAUUAUAAAUAGUUA